CCUAGUCGAGAGUCGAGACUAGUUAUUGACGAUUGUAAAACAGAAGAGGAACACGUCUGACGACUGCUACCGCUCCGCCCCCUCCCCCGCCCCCGCCGCGGGUUACGCCGUCGCGAAGGGAUUAUGAAGCGGAUGCAGUUAAGAAUAACUGAUCUAAACUAUGAUGUUUUGAAACAUGUAAUGUACUAUGUAGCCAUAUCUUCUGAUGGAGCCAAGAACCUUGCCAGGGUGGUAUCUGUUUGCAGGUUGUUUAAGGAAGUUGCCAAGGAUACGGACAUCUUGAAAGCUGUGACAUUUGAUGAUAUUAAGCUCUCUGCUAUCCAUGGGUCAUUUUGGCGACCUUCUGGCCUUUUAUGUACUUGUGUAGCAAAUGCAAAUCAGAGUGCUUCUGACAAAGUAACUGAUUAUGCAGAAAUGCUCAAUGCAACUCAUAAGGUCCUUAAAAGGGAUAUGUUCCGUGCAAAGAUGAUUCUCAUGGCAAGAAAUAGAGCUGUUGAAACUGUAAAUACAAGGGCGAGGAAGAAGGCCCUAGAUUCAGCAAUAGAUGUUGGAGUGCACAAAGACCUGUGAUGCUGUUGAUGCUCAACUACAAAGAACUGAGCAGUUCUUAGAGAUGCUCAAUGCAGUGCAGAGAGAGAAACUACUUCUUCCAGCAUGCAGUGGGAUAUCCAAGAAAUAUGCAAGCUAAAGAUGUCAUUCCCGAGGGUCAUUGUUUUUACUUCGAUUGUUGGCAGCAGAAGAUGACAUUGAAGAGGCCUAUCUCUCCUCAAAACAUAUAGCCAUGUAUGUAAUUUUGAGGCUGCUAGAGGAUUUUUGCUCUCGUUUGUUGUGCGAUUGUUCUAGUUUUCUACAUCAUAUGGUCUUAUCAAUUUUUCUAGAAUCCUGCCUUUUUCAUUUCCUUUCCUUUCAAGCUGCUAGCUUCAUAGAACCAGAUACAACUCAGCCGAGAAGUACUCAAGUGCGUGGCAUUGAAGAGAAACACAGUCAAUGAAACGGAACACUAAACUACAUACUACAGCCAUGAUAAAGCAGCUUAUGUUUGGGGACUAAUUUGGAAGUAUGAAGUACAAAAUCAAGAGAAUAGCAACAAUAAGAGCCGCAACUAUUGCUGCACUAAUAAUCCACUUCUUGUUUCUGCUCAUCCACCGUGAUAUCCUUCUCUCUUUGUUGUCGUCGACAUCAUGUAACUAGAAUGGGAAGAAGACAAGCUAAGCUGUGAGGUAAGUUUGUAUUUUCUCUAGAACAAAUCUCAACUAUCAAUCCAAAAAAGUAGAGUGAGCAUUAUAACUGUGAAUGAUGUCCUGUUCAGGCUAAACCACAAGGAACCAUAGCCAUGUUGAGCAUAUAUAAUAUAUAAACGUAAAUGUGCUGUCCAACUAUCAGCUUAGACUUUUAGUUGAGAUGUAGCACAAUCAGCACGCUUCAAUUAGCAAUAGGGGGAUACAUACAUAUACUUUAGGUAGUAAGAAGUGCAGGCAUACCGUUUUAUGAGCAUGAGCAUGCAAGAAUGGCUGCUGCGGCUGGGAUUCCAGAUCUUGAAGAAUUGGAACAUCAAGCUCUUCUGUGUCUAGAAUGGUUUCCCUAAUCUCAUGACUAGUCUGAUCAUGUGUUUCUGCUAGUGCCUAUUACAUUACAGUUACCAUCAGUGUCAUAAGCCAACGCUACAAGAGUGUUGGCAAAUAAAAUGGCAAUUGCCUAUGCAUAAAACAUACCGGUAAUGUGUCAACUUGAUUUGAGUUUGAGGUUUGUUUAGUUA